GCAUAGGAGCUUGCUCCUGAUGGCGAGUGGCGAACGGGUGAGUAAUAUAUCGGAACGUGCCCUAGAGUGGGGGAUAACUAGUCGAAAGACUAGCUAAUACCGCAUACGAUCUACGGAUGAAAGUGGGGGAUCGCAAGACCUCAUGCUCCUGGAGCGGCCGAUAUCUGAUUAGCUAGUUGGUGGGGUAAAAGCUCACCAAGGCGACGAUCAGUAGCUGGUCUGAGAGGACGACCAGCCACACUGGGACUGAGACACGGCCCAGACUCCUACGGGAGGCAGCAGUGGGGAAUUUUGGACAAUGGGGGCAACCCUGAUCCAGCAAUGCCGCGUGAGUGAAGAAGGCCUUCGGGUUGUAAAGCUCUUUUGUCAGGGAAGAAACGGUUCUGGAUAAUACCUGGAGCUAAUGACGGUACCUGAAGAAUAAGCACCGGCUAACUACGUGCCAGCAGCCGCGGUAAUACGUAGGGUGCAAGCGUUAAUCGGAAUUACUGGGCGUAAAGCGUGCGCAGGCGGUUGUGUAAGUCAGAUGUGAAAUCCCCGGGCUCA
rnacentral:rRNA from 1 species